AGGACCUGACCUAAAUCGAGCUGCCCUUCCAGGACACAAUGUGGCUGACCUGGUGGUGAUACUCAAGAUUCUGCCAACAUUGGAAGCUGUUGCUGCCCUGGGGAACAAAGUCCUGGAAAGCCUAAGAGCACAGGAUCCUUCUGAAGUUUUAACCAUGCUAACCAAUGAAACUGGCUUUGAAAUCAGUUCUUCUGAUGCUACAGUGAAGAUUCUCAUUACAACAGUGCCACCCAAUCUUCAAAAACUGGACCAGAACUCCAUUUGGAUAUCAAGGUAUUGCAGAGUGCCUUAGCAGCCAUCCGACAUGCCCGCUGGUUUGAGGAAAAUGCUUCUCAGUCCACAGUUAAAGUUCUCAUCAGACUACUGAAAGACUUGAGGAUUCGUUUUCCUGGCUUUGAAGCCCCUAACACCCUGGAUCCUUGACCUACUAGUUCAUUAUGCUGCAAUGAACAACCCCACCAGACAGCCUUUGGCCCUAAACGUUGCAUACAGGCACUGCUUACAGAUUCUGGCUGCGGGACUGUUCCUGCCAGGUUCAGUGGGUAUCACUGACCCCUGUGAGAGUGGCAACUUCAGAGUACACACAGUCAUGACCCUAGAACAGCAGGACAUGGUCUGCUAUACAGCUCAGACUCUCGUCCGAAUCCUCACAUGGUGGCUUUAGGAAGAUCCUUGGCCAGGAGGGUGAUGUCAGCUGUGAGUGA